GACGAACGCUGGCGGCGUGCCUAAUACAUGCAAGUUGAGCGCUGAAGGUUGGUACUUGUACCAACUGGAUGAGCAGCGAACGGGUGAGUAACGCGUGUGGAAUCUGCCUUUGAGCGGGGGACAACAUUUGGAAACGAAUGCUAAUACCGCAUAAAAACUUUAAACACAAGUUUUAAGUUUGAAAGAUGCAAUUGCAGCAUUCAAAGACGAUCCCGCGUUGUAUUAGCUAGUUGGUGAGGUAAAGGCGCACCAAGGCGAUGGUACAUCGCCGACCUGAGAGGGUGGUCGGCCACAUUGGGACUGAGACCGGGCCCAAACUCCUUCGGGAGGCAGCAGGAGGGAAUCGGCAGCAAGGGGCGAAAGACUUACCGAGAAACGCCGCGGGAGGGAAGAAGGUUUUCGGAUCGUAAAACUCUGUUGGUAGAGAAGAACGUUGGUGAGAGUGGAAAGCUCAUCAAGUGACGGUAACUACUCAGAAAGGGACGGCUAACUACGUG
rnacentral:rRNA from 1 species